GAUGAAGAACGUAGCGAACUGCGAUAAGUAAUGUGAAUUGCAGAAUUCAGUGAAUCAUCGAGUCUUUGAACGCACAUUGCGCCCCCUGGAAUUCCGGGGGGCAUGCCUGUCCGAGCGUCAUUGCUGCCCUUCAAGCCCGGCUUGUGUGUUGGGUCGUCGUCCCCCCCGGGGGACGGGCCCGAAAGGCAGCGGCGGCACCGCGUCCGGUCCUCGAGCGUAUGGGGCUUUGUCACCCGCUCGAUUAGGGCCGGCCGGGCGCCAGCCGGCGUCUCCAACCUUCUAUUUUACCAGGUUGACCUCGGAUCAGGUAGGGAUACCCGCUGAACUUAAGCAUAUCAAUAAGCGGAGGA
rnacentral:misc_RNA from 1 species